GACGAACGCUGGCGGCGUGCUUAACACAUGCAAGUCGAGCGGUAAGGCCCUUUCGGGGGUACACGAGCGGCGAACGGGUGAGUAACACGUGGGUGACCUGCCCUCAGCUCUGGGAUAAGCCUGGGAAACCGGGUCUAAUACUGGAUAUGACUCCAUGACGCAUGUUGUGGGGUGGAAAGCCUUGUGCGGCUGAGGAUGGGCCCGCGGCCUAUCAGCUUGUUGGUGGGGGA
rnacentral:rRNA from 1 species